CGAAGCAACGCGAAGAACCUUACCAGGGCUUGACAUGCCGCUGACCGGUGCAGAGAUGCAUCUUUAUCCUUCGGGGUACAGCGGACACAGGUGGUGCAUGGUUGUCGUCAGCUCGUGUCGUGAGAUGUUGGGUUAAGUCCCGCAACGAGCGCAACCCUUGUCUUUAGUUGCCAUCAUUAAGUUGGGCACUCUAAAGAGACUGCCGAUGACAAAUCGGAGGAAGGUGGGGAUGACGUCACAUCAUCAUGCCCUUUAUGUCCUGGGCUACACACGUGCUACAAUGGUCGGUACAACGAGAAGCAAGCCAGCGAUGGCAAGCAAAUCUCUAAAAGCCGAUCCCAGUUCGGAUUGCAGGCUGCAACUCGCCUGCAUGAAGUCGGAGUUGCUAGUAAUCGCGGAUCAGAAUGCCGCGGUGAAUGCGUUCCCGGGCCUU
rnacentral:rRNA from 2 species